rnacentral:lncRNA from 1 species
AACAAAAUACCAAAAUAAAACAAAGGCCAAAACCAAAAGCAGAAACAGAUCAAGCAGCUCAACCUCUCUAGCCUCUUAAUGAAUAAUGAUAGAUCGAACCAGAAGCAAAACAGUUGAGUUGAAGAUCGAAGCUCUAGGUCAAAACACACUCUCUCUUUCUCAAUUUUUGUAGUUUUUUCUUUCGACUUCAUCAAAGUCUAAACCCUAAAUGCUCGCCUUCUCAAGCACAACAACUUCAAAAGGAUUUAUCAUUUUCUUGGAGAUCUUAUAGAGUCGUAUUCUUAGCAUCAUCAAAGUCAGCCGCGUCGAGCCGUCAUGGUCUGUGUGACAAGCUAAAAGGUCACAUUGACUUGAGCAAAAGAAUAGUUAAGCUUGUAAAUAGAGGCAGAACAAUUAGCAAGCUCGUUCACUCUAUCGUGCGACCCGUGCCUGAGACUCUUGGAAUCGAAUUAGAGGUAUUGAUUUUGAUUUGAUUGUCGACAUAUUUUUGUUUUUAGAUUUUUUUUUUUUAUAUUUUAUAGUGUUUAAUUAGCAAUAAAUUUGAAUUUCUAGAGUAAUUUAGGUGUACUGGCGAAUUAAAUGUUGAUUUUAUGUAUUUACUUUUUGAUUUGAAAUCCGCUUUCUCUUAAGUGUUAUUCGUUUGUGUUUCGAAUGCAGGUUUAGUGCUUACAGAUGCCAAGAGAAAAGGGUUUCUUCAUCCAGUGAAAUUCAAGAGAGUUGACAGCAAAAGGGAGCACAUAUGUUUCUUGAUUGAGAACGAGUGCAAAGGAUGACAUUUUAAUGAGGUUCUGAAGCUGACGAAUAACGAUUUGCUAAAAUUUUGAGAAAGUUAUAUAUUCCGUAACUUCAACAAGUGAAGAAUAAAAGAAUAAUAGUUCGUCAUCUUCACAAUGAAGAUCAUGGACGAGAUUAAAAGCUAAAACUAGUCCAUUUGAAAAGCCAAAGUUCAAGUUCCUUGGCUAAGUUCAGAAGUGAAGCAAAGAAUAAAUAAAUAAAGAUCAAGGGAUGGGAAUAAAGUCACCCCCAGACAGUUGCAGAAAGAUUAUUAUUUGGUAAGCGUAGUUGAUUAUUAGUACAAAACAGAGUAGGUGAAACACAUCCUUUCUAUUUAGACUGAUCAGCAUCUAAAAUUUUAUGAAUUAUAAGUUGCAUUUUACUUUGUACAUUAUGUUAACACAUUUUAAUUUAGCCAAUUUUGCAAUAAAUGUUAUUGAUGUAUUAAAUUGCAACAACAAAACACAAUUAUUGGUUUUAAAGAAUGAAAAAAAAAAAAUACAAAAAUAGAAAAUGAAUUGAAUUCCACUCAUCGUCAUCUUGGCAAAUCAAGUCAAAAAAUAAAAAUCCAUAUGCUUUUGUUAAAGUUAAAAGCUACAUAAAUAAUAUCACAGAAGCUUCUGCUAAGGUUCAUGUGAAGUCACAGCUUUGAUACUUGUAAUACAAGGAGCACGGAGAAACCAUAAACUUCAGUUUAGGUAUAUACAUUGCUUGUCUUUCUGCUGUACCGUACAUCCGCCUUAGCCGUACAGCAGAAAACAAAAUACCAAAAUAAAACAAAGGCCAAAACCAAAAGCAGAAACAGAUCAAGCAGCUCAACCUCUCUAGCCUCUUAAUGAAUAAUGAUAGAUCGAACCAGAAGCAAAACAGUUGAGUUGAAGAUCGAAGCUCUAGGUCAAAACACACUCUCUCUUUCUCAAUUUUUGUAGUUUUUUCUUUCGACUUCAUCAAAGUCUAAACCCUAAAUGCUCGCCUUCUCAAGCACAACAACUUCAAAAGGAUUUAUCAUUUUCUUGGAGAUCUUAUAGAGUCGUAUUCUUAGCAUCAUCAAAGUCAGCCGCGUCGAGCCGUCAUGGUCUGUGUGACAAGCUAAAAGGUCACAUUGACUUGAGCAAAAGAAUAGUUAAGCUUGUAAAUAGAGGCAGAACAAUUAGCAAGCUCGUUCACUCUAUCGUGCGACCCGUGCCUGAGACUCUUGGAAUCGAAUUAGAG